UCGUGAGGAGCUCGGAACCACAAUUGGAGAAAUGCUGCUGAUGGUAAGUUAUGUUUUUACCUGUCUUUUGAGUUUGCUUUGUGCCUUUUCUUGACAAUUGUUCUGCCGUCCUAGGUGUUAGGCCUGGUUAUGGAGGUGGAUGCCCGUGAUCGCUCUCUCCGGGAGUCCGUGGACCGCCGGAUCGAGGAAGCGCGUCGUGAUGAGAACCUGACUGCCACCAGCGACGCGAGG
rnacentral:lncRNA from 1 species